UACGGAGGGUGCAAGCGUUAAUCGGAAUUACUGGGCGUAAAGCGUGCGUAGGCGGUUCGUUAAGUCUGUUGUGAAAGCCCCGGGCUCAACCUGGGAAUGGCAAUGGAUACUGGCGAGCUAGAGUGUGUCAGAGGAUGGUGGAAUUCCGGUGUAGCGGUGAAAUGCGUAGAGAUCGGGAGGAACAUCAGUGGCGAAGGCGGCCAGUCUGGGACAACACGUACGCUGAGGAC
rnacentral:rRNA from 1 species